AUUGAACGCUGGCGGCAGGCCUAACACAUGCAAGUCGAGCGGAUGAAGAGAGCUUGCUCUCUGAUUCAGCGGCGGACGGGUGAGUAAUGCCGAGGAAUCUGCCUGGUAGUGGGGGACGACGUUUCGAAAGGAACGCUAAUACCGCAUACGUCCUACGGGAGAAAGCAGGGGACCUUCGGGCCUUGCGCUAUCAGAUGAGCCUAGGUCGGAUUAGCUAGUAGGUGAGGUAAAGGCUCACCUAGGCGACGAUCCGUAACUGGUCUGAGAGGAUGAUCAGUCACACUGGAACUGAGACACGGUCCAGACUCCUACGGGAGGCAGCAGUGGGGAAUAUUGGACAAUGGGCGAAAGCCUGAUCCAGCCAUGCCGCGUGUGUGAAGAAGGUCUUCGGAUUGUAAAGCACUUUAAGUUGGGAGGAAGGGCAGUAAGUUAAUACCUUGCUGUUUUGACGUUACCAACAGAAUAAGCACCGGCUAACUUCGUGCCAGCCGCCGCCGUAAAAC
rnacentral:rRNA from 1 species